rnacentral:rRNA from 1 species
GAGGGUUUUACUGUCUCUUACUUCCAAUCAAGUGAAAUUGACCUUCCCGUGAAGAGGCGGGAAUGCACAAAUAAGACGAGAAGACCCUAUGGAGCUUUAUACUAACCAACCCAAAGAGAAUAGAUUUAACCAUUAAGGAAUAACACACAAUCUCCAUGAGUUGGUAGUUUCGUUGGGGUGACCUCGGAGAAUAAAAAAUCCUCCGAGCGAUUUUAAAGACUAGACCCACAAGUCAAAAUCACUCUAUCGCUCAUUGAUCCAAAAAACUUGAUCAACGGAACAAGUUACCCUAGGGAUAACAGCAGCAAAUCCUAUUCAAGAGUCCAUAUCAGACAAAUAGGGUUUACGACCUCGAUGUUGGAUCAGGACAUCCUGAUGGUGCAACCGCUAUCAAAGGUUCGUUUGUUCAACGAUUAAAGUCCUACGUGAUCUGAGUUCAGAC